rnacentral:rRNA from 1 species
ACCUGCGGNAGGAUCAUUAUUGAAAUAAACCUGAUGGGUUGUUGCUGGUUCUCUAGGGAGCAUGUGCACACCUUGUCAUCUUUAUAUCUCCACCUGUGCACUUUUUGUAGACCUUUCAGGUCUAUGUUGCUUCAUUUACCCCAAUGUAUGUUAAUAGAAUGUUGUGCCUAUAUAAUAUAUACAACUUUCAGCAACGGAUCUCUUGGCUCUCGCAUCGAUGAAGAACGCAGCGAAAUGCGAUAAGUAAUGUGAAUUGCAGAAUUCAGUGAAUCAUNGAAUCUUUGAACGCACCUUGCGCUCCUUGGUAUUCCGAGGAGCAUGCCUGUUUGAGUGUCAUUAAUAUAUCAACCUUCUCUUUUUUGAGUUGUUUGGAUGUGGGGGUUUGCUGGCCUCUUAAAUGAUUCAGCUCCCCUGAAAUGCAUUAGCAGAACAACCUGUUCAUUGGCGUGAUAAUUAUCUAUGCUAUUGAAUGUGAGGGCAGUUCAGCUUUCUAACCGUCCUCGGACAAUUCAUCAUUAAUGUGACCUCAAAUCAGGUAGGACUACCCGCUGAACUUAAGCAUA